UUCUCUGACAUGGAAGCUCUCCCAGACUCAGAGAUUCAGCUUUCUCCAUCCCUGCUGCCCUUUCCAUCACUCCUCCAUAUCUCCUUCUUGGGUUUUCAAUUUGAAAUAUCCUCCCUGAGUCUGAACAUCCAAGACAUCAUGGACUUACCUGUUGGGCUGUAGGGAGCAUCAUCAGAACUUUUUCUUUUCUUUGAUCGUGAUUUGAAUACUGGAUUAUCUUCAUCAGAUUCCAAAGAUGGGUAAACUAAACCAGGAACAAAAAAUAGCUUUUAUUGCAGCAGUAUUAAACAGGAGUUUGAGGAAGGGGAAAAAACAGGGCUGGAUUAAAGCACAGCCUCACUGCAGGCCAAUGCCGAGGACCCCUGCUCCUGGACUGAUGUGAUCACAUCAGAAUCUCAACUUUCAUUUUAAAAAAGUGCAGAUACCAUCAGUCUGGAUAAGGAAGAAUGGACAGGACUAUCCUUGCAGUCCACUAACUCUGCUUCUUAAUUGUCAAGAGGAUUGCUGUGAGUGACACGUGCCAUCUUCCUUCCCCACACAGACCGAGCAUACAUCCGCAACAGCUGUGCCAGCCUAUCAUGAGGUGCCCAACCCUGCCACCACUGGGAGUUCCUGGUGUCCUGUGGCAAGAGAAUUGAGCCAUACAACUCAUUUGGGUGGAGAGGUGUCUAACAAUAAAAUUCUGCAGAAUGCUUGACAGGUCCUAGACUCCAUUUACAUUCACUACGGCAGAGGACAAUAUAUGAGCAAUCAAGCCACGGUAACAACUAACCCCGAUCUGCUACAAUAUAUUAAUGCAAUCCACUGCAAACAUGGCAGGUCACCUCUAGUUAACUAAAUGAAAAGACAUUACAGUUGGAUACAAAUAAAUCGACAAAGUCUUUAGUACAUUAAGGGUCUGAUUCUCAUUUACAGUAAGGCCCUUUUACACCUUUCUGGCACCAUGAAGUGGCUUUAGAGUGGUUGCAAACGUAAUUCAAUGACUAUUUCAUUGAGCCUACUCAGUGCUCACAUGUGUUUAAGUGGAUCAAGGUCAGAGGACUUAGCACCCCAUAGGAUCAAGCCCUUAACGUAUUUCUAAAUGUGUGGAAUGGCACACAGAUACAACAGGGAAAGGUACAAUAAUAAUAGAAUACCUUAUACAAUACUGACUCCACCUUUGGCUUCUUAACUGGUGUGUGCUGUAGCGUUUCUUUUUUAUCUGAUAAAACUGAAAAAAAAAACCAAACCUGUUAAAGUUGAGACAGACCUUUCACUAACUCCAGAAACAACCUGUACGGCCUCAGAAUACAAUUUGAGUCCAUUGUAUUUAUUUUAAAUCUUGUGCUGCAAGUAAUAUGUACAUGUUCUUUAUUUAUUGUAAAACUUAUAAUAACUUUCAAAAGUAGUUUUGAAGAACUGGAUACAAUUUAAUUGCACAGAUAUAGACAAAACAGGAUGCAGUCUUACAAGGUAAAUCUCUCUUUGUAGUGUUUUUCUUUCUUCUAAUUGGAAAUUCGUCAAUUUUCAGUUCGCCAUCAUCUGACACAUACUCAUAUUCAUCUCGCACAGGUUUUGUUUUAUCUUCUUUAAAAUUUUGCAGUGACCCAAACACACCAGGAUUCAACUGGGAUUUGACUCCCUUGGAACUAUAGAGACAAGUAUUAUAAAAUCUGAAAUGAUAACAUUUUCACACGGAAAGCGUAUCAAGGAGACACUCAGCCACAUAUCAAGGUUUCACAGGACCAGAUCCUCAACUAGUGCGAAUCGGAGUUGUUCCACUGACUUCAAAUGAGCACUACGUUGACUUCAAUUGGCCUGCAAUAAAAUGAACUGUGGAGGAGGACGAGACAAAAAAGGAAGAGAAAGGGAGACGAGGAGGACAAAGCGAGAGGAAAGAAGAAGAGACAAGGGCACCCCAGCUGCGCCCGGUCAACAACAAAUGGCACACAGGGAUAGAUCACAGUGCAGAAUCAGGCAGAAUGUGUCUCUAUAAGGAUACACGCCCCGAAGGCUGGAACAGCUCCAGUGAAAUGCUGCACAGACUACCAGUUCAAAUAUUUUUUUAAA